UCAGUGCUCUCUUUUCUUAGUCCUAAAUAAAUUGACCUACAGCAACAUUUGCACAAUAACCCUGCAACAAUCAUAUUAAUCAUGACAAAGAAAAGAGAGCACUGAAUAGUAAAUGAUAUACCUUUGUGACGGUCUUCCUCUUCUUGUCCAGCUUCACCUUGUUAGCCUUGACGCGCUGGACCUCAGCCAAAAGUGACAUCCUCCUAACAGUCUUAGAAUAGGGAGUUUAGCUUUAGCAUCACAUUCAAAUUCUUGAGAGGAUUCUACUUCAAUGUAGCCCUCUUCACCUCCUUCUUUAUCGGCUUCACUACGGACUGCAUCUCAUCAGAGUUGAUGAUCCUAGCAAGGUCAGCAUUCACCAUCUUAGCUCUCGGCAGCACAUAACCAUUCUUCUUCUCCGAUGGCUUCUCAAAUGAACCAUAGAUUGAGUCCAGAUUCUCGAAUGCAGACUUGGUCCAGAUAAUGAAACGUCCGAGAUGGCCACCAGGUGCUAGCUUCAGGACAUUGAGACGGUCUACGUUGGCCAGCUCUACUCCUGGGAUGUUCCUGAAGGCCUUAACCAACUUGGCUCCUUCAGUUCCAUACACAAUUAGCGGUCCCUUGCGAGAGAUGUAGCGGCGGUUCCUCAUUUUACCCUUCCCUGGCCGAAUCGCGUGGCUGUCCUUGGCCUUCUCCGCGUCAGAAUACGCCCCGAUCUUCUUCAAUACCUUUAUUGCAGCUGAAGUUUUCUCGACGCUCUCUGCAGAAUCGCUGAUGACCAUUGGCAUUUCAGGGACAGAUUCUACCUUAUGCCCGCGAGCCAUCACCAGAGAAGAGAUAGCAGAGGCAGCAAUAGCAGAUACGACGGCGUAUCUCUUCUGAUUCACAUUGAUCUUACGGUGCCAGCGCCGCCAGAUCUUCGUAGGAGCAAACAUUCGCCCACCACGACACAUGUUACCAAAAGCGCCCUGGCCAGCGCGGUAAGUACCACCACCGGGGACACGGGGGAUACGGGAUACGGCACGGCCAGUGCCCCAGGACUCGGCAGAGGUCUGGUGGCCAGCGAGCUUGGACACAGCGAAGGGCUGGCGGCUGUUCUUGGAGAUGUUGGCGUGGACAAAGUUAACGAUGUCAGGUCCGAUCGAGGCCUUCAUCACGUCAGGAGGAGCCAGAGUGGUGGAGGAGUCUGUGGCCAUCUCAUUUAGAGAUGGAAGAGACUGCACAGUGACCAGAGGGCGCACGGCUGAAGUGUCGGCGGCAGCCAUGGCGCUCAGCGCGUGCAAGAGGAAGCGAGUGACUACUG
rnacentral:misc_RNA from 1 species